CCUACGGGAGGCAGCAGUGGGGAAUAUUGCUCAAUGGGCGAAAGCCUGACGCAGCGACGCCGCGUGAGGGAUGAAGGUCUUCGGAUCGUAAACCUCUGUCAGCAGGGAAGAACAGUCACUGUGCUAAUCAGCAGUGAAUUGACGGUACCUUCAAAGGAAGCACCGGCUAACUCCGUGCCAGCCGCCGCUGUAAUACGGAGGGUGCGAGCGUUAAUCGGAAUUACUGGGCGUAAAGCGCUCGUAGGCGGUAUGUCAAGUCAAGGGUGAAAGCCCGGCGCUCAACGUGGGAACUGCCUUUGAAACGGGGAAACUGGAGUGUGGGAGAGGAUAGUGGAAUUCCUGGUGUAGGAGUGAAAUCCGUAGAUAUCAGGAGGAACAUCAGUGGCGAAGGCGACUAACUGGAACAUAACUGACGCUGAGGAGCGAAAGCGUGGGUAGCAAACAGGAUUAGAUACCCUUGUAGUC
rnacentral:rRNA from 1 species